rnacentral:rRNA from 1 species
GAUCCUGGCUCAGAAUCAACGCUGGCGGCGUGCCUAAUACAUGCAAGUCGAACGCGAAAGUCCCGCAAGGGGCGAGUAGAGUGGCAAACGGGUGAGUAACGCGUGGGCGACCUACCUUCGAGUGGGGGAUAACAUUCCGAAAGGAGUGCUAAUACCGCAUGACAUCCCGUGUUUGGAUACACGGACAUCAAAGCUGGGGAUCGCAAGACCUGGCGCUUGGAGAGGGGCCUGCGUCCGAUUAGCUAGUUGGUGGGGUGACGGCCCACCAAGGCUUCGAUCGGUAUCCGGCCUGAGAGGGCGGACGGACACACUGGAACUGAGACACGGUCCAGACUCCUACGGGAGGCAGCAG